UUGAACGCUGGCGGCAUGCCUAACACAUGCAAGUCGAACGGGGUAGCAAUACCCAGUGGCGGACGGGUGAGGAAUACAUAGGAAUUUGCCUUUAGGUGGGGGAUAGCCCGGGGAAACUCGGAGUAAUACCGCAUGAUGUCGAAAGACCAAAGCAGGGGAUCGCAAGACCUUGCGCCCUUAGAGAAGCCUAUGUCUGAUUAGCUAGUUGGUAGGGUAAUGGCCUACCAAGGCGACGAUCAGUAACUGGUCUGAGAGGACGAUCAGUCACACCGGAACUGAGACACGGUCCGGACUCCUACGGGAGGCAGCAGUGGGGAAUAUUGGACAAUGGGCGAAAGCCUGAUCCAGCAAUGCCGCGUGUGUGAAGAAGGCCUUCGGGUUGUUAAAGCACUUUAGGUCGGGAGAAAAGACUUCACCUAAUACGUGAAGCCUUGAC
rnacentral:rRNA from 1 species